AUGUUUAUAUACAUUUUCCAGAUGAUAUAUGUAAAAAAUAAAUUUUUUCCCUUCUUUAAUGUAUUAUGUAUUGCAAUAUAUGUUUAUGUUUAUUUAAAGUCUGUAUAUUUUUCUUGUGAUGAUUUAUAUUUUUAUUCCUCAUGCCCUACUGAUGUCAUGUUAUCUUCACACACAUACCUGUGUAAUUGUAAUUGA